GUUUGCUUAUUUAAUGAAAAAAUAAUAGAAUCAGAUGCUAAGCUUCUGCUUCAAGAUGUAUUCUUGAACAAUUUCAUUCCAUAUCAAACCUUAUUUGUUCUUUUCAUUCACUCCCAUUGUUCCAGAAAGUGUUAUCUCCAGUUGAAAAAACCUUAUUGUUGAAGGUAGCAAUGAACACAAUGACACCUUGUAAACUUAAACUUCCCUUUUCAAAAC
rnacentral:misc_RNA from 1 species